rnacentral:misc_RNA from 1 species
UUUAAAAUGAAAAUUGAGAUUUCUAUCUUAAAUUAUACUAGGAAAUGAACUAAUAAUUAUUUCAGAGUUUGCUGGGAUAUUAGAGAAAAAUAGUGUACGUAAUCUCCUUGAAACAUGCACAUUGUUAUUCAUAAAACCUUAAUCUGAAGAAGCAUACAAAUCUCUCCCACAACGGUCACAUGUUGUAGAACCAGGCGGGGAAGCCUUUUCUGGUUUGGCUUUCUGCAUGUUCGGUAAAUCAAGCUCCAGAACUUCAUGCAGCGCCUUUGAGCCUUCUUGAAGUUCAUCCAAACUUAUGGAGAGUGGAGGAGUUAACCGGACAAUGGUAUCAUGUGUGGGCUUAGCAAGAACUCCUCUUUCCUUCAACUUCAGACAAAUAUCAUAAGCAGAAAUGGGGGACAAAGUCUUGCUGUUGAACUCCACAGCAUUGAAC